rnacentral:rRNA from 1 species
UCAAGUUGUCAAGGGCGAACGGUGGAUGCCUUGGCACCAGGAGCCGAUGAAGGACGUGGGAGGCCGCGAUAGGCCUGGGGGAGCUGUCAACCAAGCUGUGAUCCCAGGGUGUCCGAAUGGGGAAACCCGGCAUCAGUCAUGUGAUGUCACCCGCACCUGAACACAUAGGGUGUGUGGGGGGAACGCGGGGAAGUGAAACAUCUCAGUACCCGUAGGAAGAGAAAACAAAUAGUGAUUCCGUGAGUAGUGGCGAGCGAAAGCGGAUUGAGGCUAAACCGGCGGCGUGUGAUACCUGUCAGGGGUUGCGUGGUCGGGGUUGUGGGACCCUGCUCAACAGACUGACAUCUGUUGGAGAAGUUACAAAGCCAGUGGCUAGUCGAACAGUCUGGAAUGGCUGACCGUAGACGGUGAUAGUCCGGUAGGUGAAAGCUGCUGGUCUUCUGUGGGUGUUCCCGAGUAGCGGCGGACUCCUGAAAUCUGCCGUGAAUCUGCCAGGACCACCUGGUAAGCCUAAAUACUUCCUGGUGACCGAUAGCGGACAAGUACCGUGAGGGAAUGGUGAAAAGUACCCCGGGAGGGGAGUGAAAUAGUACCUGAAACCGUUCGCCUACAAUCCGUCGGAGCCUUGCGGGGUGACGGCGUGCCUUUUGAAGAAUGAGCCUGCGAGUUAGUGGCAUGUGGCGAGGUUAACCCGUGUGGGGGAGCCGUAGCGAAAGCGAGUCUGAAUAGGGCGUUUUUAGUCGCAUGCUCUAGACCCGAAGCGGAGUGAUCUAGCCAUGGGCAGGCUGAAGCGCGGGUAAGACCGCGUGGAGGGCCGAACCCACCAACGUUGAAAAGUUGGGGGAUGACCUGUGGUUAGGGGUGAAAGGCCAAUCAAACUCCGUGAUAGCUGGUUCUCCCCGAAAUGCAUUUAGGUGCAGCGUCGCGUGUUUCUUGCCGGAGGUAGAGCACUGGAUGGUCUAGGGGGCCCACAAGCUUACCGAAAUCAGCCAAACUCCGAAUGCCGGUAAGUGAGAGCGCGGCAGUGAGACUGCGGGGGAUAAGCUUCGUAGUCGAGAGGGAAACAGCCCAGAUCACCAGCUAAGGCCCCUAAGCGUGUGCUAAGUGGAAAAGGAUGUGGGGUCGCAUAGACAACCAGGAGGUUGGCUUAGAAGCAGCCACCCUUUAAAGAGUGCGUAAUAGCUCACUGGUCAAGUGGUUCCGCGCCGACAAUGUAGCGGGGCUCAAGCACACCGCCGAAGCUGUGGCAUUCACAUUUUAACUUCGUGCCUCCUUGAUGGGGUAUGCAGGUGUGUGGAUGGGUAGGGGAGCGUCGUGCCGGGGGUGAAGCAGCGGGGUGACCCAGUUGUGGACGCGGCACGAGUGAGAAUGCAGGCAUGAGUAGCGAAAGAAGGGUGAGAAACCCUUCCGCCGGAUGACCAAGGGUUCCAGGGCCAGGCUAAUCCGCCCUGGGUGAGUCGGGACCUAAGGCGAGGCCGAGAGGCGUAGUCGAUGGACAACGGGUUGAUAUUCCCGUACCCGCGAAAGAGCGACCCUGACGAACCUCGUUGUGCUAACCACCCGAACUGCCGGCGGUCUUCGGACCAAUGGUGGGGAGCGUGGGAACCUGGCGGGUAGUAGUCAAGCGAUGGGGUGACGCAGGAAGGUAGCUGAGCCCGGCCGGUGGUUGUGCCGGGGUAAGCGUGUAGGCCGUGCCGUAGGCAAAUCCGCGGCGCAUGUAGGCUGAGACGUGAUGCCGAGCCGAUUCAGGUGAAGUCAGUGAUCCUAUGCUGCCGAGAAAAGCCUCUAGCGAGUUCUUAGCGGCCCGUACCCCAAACCGACACAGGUGGUCAGGU